UACGUAGGGGGGCUAGCGUUGUCCGGAUUUAUUGGGCGUAAAGAGCGUGUAGGCGGCCAUGUAGGUCCGGUGUGAAAACUCGAGGCUUAACCUCGAGAUGUCAUCGGAAACCAUUUGGCUAGAGUCCGGAAGAGGAGAGUGGAAUUCCUGGUGUAGCGUGAAAUGCGCAGAUAUCAGGAAGAACACCAAUGGCGAAAGCAGCUCUCUGGGACGGUACUGACGCUGAGACGCGAAAGCGUGGGGAGCGAACAGG
rnacentral:rRNA from 1 species